rnacentral:rRNA from 1 species
GGUUAAGCGACUAAGCGUACACGGUGGAUGCCCUGGCAGUCAGAGGCGAUGAAGGGCGUGCUAAUCUGCGAUAAGCGCCGGUAAGGUGAUAUGAACCGUUAUAACCGGCGAUACCCGAAUGGGGAAACCCAGUGUGACUCGUCACACUAUCAUUAACUGAAUCCAUAGGUUAAUGAGGCGAACCGGGGGAACUGAAACAUCUAAGUACCCCGAGGAAAAGAAAUCAACCGAGAUUCCCCCAGUAGCGGCGAGCGAACGGGGAGGAGCCCAGAGCCUGAAUCAGCAUGUGUGUUAGUGGAAGCGUCUGGAAAGGCGCGCGAUACAGGGUGACAGCCCCGUACACAAAAGCGCAUGUGCUGUGAGCUCGAUGAGUAGGGCGGGACACGUGGUAUCCUGUCUGAAUAUGGGGGGACCAUCCUCCAAGGCUAAAUACUCCUGACUGACCGAUAGUGAACCAGUACCGUGAGGGAAAGGCGAAAAGAACCCCGGCGAGGGGAGUGAAAAAGAACCUGAAACCGUGUACGUACAAGCAGUGGGAGCCCCACCACUAAGCCAGUGGUGAACUCCACAUACGCAUCCUUUGCUGAGGAUACGGUUAACGGAGCGAAAGCGACGUUCAACCUCAAAAGAAGCAGAGGGGGCUUAGUGGUGGGGUGACUGCGUACCUUUUGUAUAAUGGGUCAGCGACUUAUAUUCUGUAGCAAGGUUAACCGUAUAGGGGAGCCGUAGGGAAACCGAGUCUUAACCGGGCGUUAAGUUGCAGGGUAUAGACCCGAAACCCGGUGAUCUAGCCAUGGGCAGGUUGAAGGUUGGGUAACACUAACUGGAGGACCGAACCGACUAAUGUUGAAAAAUUAGCGGAUGACCUGUGGCUGGGGGUGAAAGGCCAAUCAAACCGGGAGAUAGCUGGUUCUCCCCGAAAGCUAUUUAGGUAGCGCCUCGUGAAUUCAUCUCCGGGGGUAGAGCACUGUUUCGGCUAGGGGGCCAUCCCGGCUUACCAACCCGAUGCAAACUGCGAAUACCGGAGAAUGUUAUCACGGGAGACACACGGCGGGUGCUAACGUCCGUCGUGAAGAGGGAAACAACCCAGACCGCCAGCUAAGGUCCCAAAGUCAUGGUUAAGUGGGAAACGAUGUGGGAAGGCCCAGACAGCCAGGAUGUUGGCUUAGAAGCAGCCAUCAUUUAAAGAAAGCGUAAUAGCUCACUGGUCGAGUCGGCCUGCGCGGAAGAUGUAACGGGGCUAAACCAUGCACCGAAGCUGCGGCAGCGAACGUAUCACUUAAAGCGAUUCAGCGGGUUCGAUUGACGGAGCGAAGCGACGUCAAAGCGUAUACAAAGUCGAGUCGGUUUAAGGAUACGUUCGUUGGGUAGGGGAGCGUUCUGUAAGCCUGCGAAGGUGGCCUGUGAGGGUUGCUGGAGGUAUCAGAAGUGCGAAUGCUGACAUAAGUAACGAUAAAGCGGGUGAAAAGCCCGCUCGCCGGAAGACCAAGGGUUCCUGUCCAACGUUAAUCGGGGCAGGGUGAGUCGACCCCUAAGGCGAGGCCGAAAGGCGUAGUCGAUGGGAAACGGGUUAAUAUUCCCGUACUUGGUGUUACUGCGAAGGGGGGACGGAGAAGGCUAUGUUGGCCGGGCGACGGUUGUCCCGGUUUAAGCGUGUAGGUGUGUGUUCCAGGUAAAUCCGGUUCACUUUAACACUGAGGCGUGAUGACGAGGCACUACGGUGCUGAAGCAACAAAUGCCCUGCUUCCAGGAAAAGCCUCUAAGCAUCAGGUAACAUCAAAUCGUACCCCAAACCGACACAGGUGGUCAGGUAGAGAAUACCAAGGCGCUUGAGAGAACUCGGGUGAAGGAACUAGGCAAAAUGGUGCCGUAACUUCGGGAGAAGGCACGCUGACACGUAGGUGAAGUGAUUUACUCAUGGAGCUGAAGUCAGUCGAAGAUACCAGCUGGCUGCAACUGUUUAUUAAAAACACAGCACUGUGCAAACACGAAAGUGGACGUAUACGGUGUGACGCCUGCCCGGUGCCGGAAGGUUAAUUGAUGGGGUCAGCGCAAGCGAAGCUCCUGAUCGAAGCCCCGGUAAACGGCGGCCGUAACUAUAACGGUCCUAAGGUAGCGAAAUUCCUUGUCGGGUAAGUUCCGACCUGCACGAAUGGCGUAAUGAUGGCCAGGCUGUCUCCACCCGAGACUCAGUGAAAUUGAACUCGCUGUGAAGAUGCAGUGUACCCGCGGCAAGACGGAAAGACCCCGUGAACCUUUACUAUAGCUUGACACUGAACAUUGAGCCUUGAUGUGUAGGAUAGGUGGGAGGCUUUGAAGUGUGGACGCCAGUCUGCAUGGAGCCGACCUUGAAAUACCACCCUUUAAUGUUUGAUGUUCUAACGUGGACCCGUAAUCCGGGUUGCGGACAGUGUCUGGUGGGUAGUUUGACUGGGGCGGUCUCCUCCUAAAGAGUAACGGAGGAGCACGAAGGUUGGCUAAUCCUGGUCGGACAUCAGGAGGUUAGUGCAAUGGCAUAAGCCAGCUUGACUGCGAGCGUGACGGCGCGAGCAGGUGCGAAAGCAGGUCAUAGUGAUCCGGUGGUUCUGAAUGGAAGGGCCAUCGCUCAACGGAUAAAAGGUACUCCGGGGAUAACAGGCUGAUACCGCCCAAGAGUUCAUAUCGACGGCGGUGUUUGGCACCUCGAUGUCGGCUCAUCACAUCCUGGGGCUGAAGUAGGUCCCAAGGGUAUGGCUGUUCGCCAUUUAAAGUGGUACGCGAGCUGGGUUUAGAACGUCGUGAGACAGUUCGGUCCCUAUCUGCCGUGGGCGCUGGAGAACUGAGGGGGGCUGCUCCUAGUACGAGAGGACCGGAGUGGACGCAUCACUGGUGUUCGGGUUGUCAUGCCAAUGGCACUGCCCGGUAGCUAAAUGCGGAAGAGAUAAGUGCUGAAAGCAUCUAAGCACGAAACUUGCCCCGAGAUGAGUUCUCCCUGAGACUUAGAGUCUCCUGAAGGAACGUUGAAGACGACGACGUUGAUAGGCCGGGUGUGUAAGCGCAGCGAUGCGUUGAGCUAACCGGUACUAAUGAACCGUGAGGCUUAACCUU